GACGAACCGUGCAAACGUUGUUCGGAAUCACUGGGCUUAAAGGGCGCGUAGGCGGGCCAGCCAGUCUGUGGUGAAAGCCUCCAGCUUAACUGGAGAAGUGCCGUGGAUACUGCUGGCCUCGAGGAGGGUAGGGGCAUCUGGAACGGUCGGUGGAGCGGUGAAAUGCGUUGAUAUCGACCGGAACUCCGGUGGCGAAGGCGAGGUGCUGGGCCCUUUCUGACGCUGAGUGCGCGAAAGCCAGGGGAGCAAACGGG
rnacentral:rRNA from 1 species